AAAAAAAAAAGAAUCAAGCUUUUGUUGUUGUUUUGGUGGUGGUGGUGAUUGUUUUUAUUAUUAUUAUUAUUAUUAUUAUUAUUAUUAUUAUUAUUUAUUAAGCCACUGAACUAUAAACCAGAUUUACCUAUAGCCCUAGCUAAACGGUGCCUUUCCUAAUGCCUUCUUCAGUCAAACAGACAGCUUUCACCUCAUGGUGAAUUCAGCACUGAAAUGAGCAGUGAGCAAUUUCCCCAGCAGGGCAUAUUUACAAAAUUAGUCUCUAGAGAAAAAGUAGAUUCUUGUCGAUUUAAAUAGAGAUAGAAAUUGUUGGGCACAAUAGUAUUAUUUCAGAAUGAGUGCAGAAGUUGGAUGACUUGGUAUCACCCAUGGAUUUGGAAAGGGACUGUUGAUGAAUACAAGCAGCCUGUAGUUGCUGCGCUGUGGGGAUGGGGCACAGAAACCUGUACAUCACACCUUGCAUAUAGCUGCUGCUUCAGAGUGGAGAAAUAAAAACUGUGCUGAAAUAUGUUUACUUUCUGCUCAAGCUCCAUAAGGCAUCUUUCAAUAAAAGCACUACUUAUUGUUUAUGAGCCAAUGUUUUUUUGUUAUUUUUCAAAUACAUCUUAAAUAAGGCUGUGCCUGUAAUGUAGAGUUGCUGUGUUACUGAACUCUUUACAGUACCAUCUACAUAGCAAUCCGUACAGAUGGCUGAAGAGAAACCUGCAUUUCUGACCUGCUCUUACUGCUCACUGUUGUUUGACCACAGAAAUGAGGAUCUUUUUGCCACCUGACUGCCAGUCCCACUGUAGCACACUGUGCUUCCUUGGCACACGCUAUCGAAAGCUCUCUGCUGGGAUUUGUUCCGCAGGACUUUUUCCUGGGGGAGUUCAGUGUUCUGCCUUUUACUGUUGUGGAAGUAUCAGUAGAAACUUGUGGAAAUUUGAACAGUUUCAACUGUUAAAAAAGCUGCUGUUACCAUGUUGUAUGUUUGCAUGUAUAGGAAAAAUGUGAUUAUGUUGUAUGCUAUUUAUACAUUUAAAUUCCCUAAAUUAAAAUGGGAAUUUGGCAAAUGCAGUUAACUUUUUUUUUCUUUUCUCAGUAAAGAGACUGUUGCACAAAAAUAAAAAUACUGCCUCGUGCAGAGGCAUUUUUAUAGCAUCAGUGGAAGACUACAGAAUGAGAUGUGGGAAUAAAAUGCACUGCUUU
rnacentral:lncRNA from 1 species